rnacentral:rRNA from 1 species
UUGAACGCUGGCGGCAGGCCUAACACAUGCAAGUCGAGCGGAUGAAGGGAGCUUGCUCCUGGAUUCAGCGGCGGACGGGUGAGUAAUGCCUAGGAAUCUGCCUGGUAGUGGGGGAUAACGUCCGGAAACGGGCGCUAAUACCGCACACGUCCUGAGGGAGAAAGUGGGGGAUCUUCGGACCUCACGCUAUCAGAUGAGCCUAGGUCGGAUUAGCUAGUUGGUGGGGUAAAGGCCUACCAAGGCGACGAUCCGUAACUGGUCUGAGAGGAUGAUCAGUCACACUGGAACUGAGACACGGUCCAGACUCCUACGGGAGGCAGCAGUGGGGAAUAUUGGACAAUGGGCGAAAGCCUGAUCCAGCCAUGCCGCGUGUGUGAAGAAGGUCUUCGGAUUGUAAAGCACUUUAAGUUGGGAGGAAGGGCAGUAAGUUAAUACCUUGCUGUUUUGACGUUACCAACAGAAUAAGCACCGGCUAACUUCGUG